rnacentral:rRNA from 1 species
AACGAACGCUGGCGGCAUGCCUAACACAUGCAAGUCGAACGAGACCUUCGGGUCUAGUGGCGCACGGGUGCGUAACGCGUGGGAACCUGCCCUUAGGUUCGGAAUAACUCCCCGAAAGGGGUGCUAAUACCGGAUAAUGUCGUCGGACCAAAGAUUUAUCGCCGUUGGAUGGGCCCGCGUUGGAUUAGCUAGUUGGUAGGGUAAAAGCCUACCAAGGCGACGAUCCAUAGCUGGUCUGAGAGGAUGAUCAGCCACACUGGGACUGAGACACGGCCCAGACUCCUACGGGAGGCAGCAGUGGGGAAUAUUGGACAAUGGGCGAAAGCCUGAUCCAGCAAUGCCGCGUGAGUGAUGAAGGCCUUAGGGUUGUAAAGCUCUUUUACCCGGGAUGAUAAUGACAGUACCGGGAGAAUAAGCUCCGGCUAACUCCGUG